rnacentral:misc_RNA from 1 species
CGCAGAAAUGGCAGUCGAUCAGGGGCGGAGUUAGGGAUUGAGACUGGGACUGAGACACAUUACGCCUUCAGCCACAAUUUAGAAUUUACCGUUACCGGGAUCCCCAUCAUGGCUAACCUAUCAGUUCGAGAUUUGGUAUGCACAGCAUCUCUUGGGGUUGCUGCUGUUGGUAUAUCACUUUUCAUCUAUGCCAAAGUAACAGGCACUGGAUUUUGUAAAAAGAAGUGUAAUAAAAAGGGCAGUGUGGUUAAUCAGAAUAUUAAAAAGGAUGAUUCAAAAGUAGUUGACACUUUUGACUUAGAAGACAUAGGGGACAAGAAAGUAUUCUGCCGAUGCUGGCGUAGUGCUUCGUUUCCCUACUGUGAUGGGUCACACAACAAGCAUAAUACAGAGACUGGUGAUAAUGUUGGCCCACUAAUUGUUGGAAAGAAAAGCAACUGAACAAGAAAUCUACCAUGUGGUACUACUGCCCAUCUCUUUAGUAGUUUUUCAUAUAUUUAGUUAUUAUUACUACUGGUUUUCAGCUUGUAAACACAUUACACAUGUAUUGAGGAA